UGGGGAAUUUUGGACAAUGGGCGAAAGCCUGAUCCAGCAAUGCCGCGUGUGUGAAGAAGGCCUUCGGGUUGUAAAGCACUUUGUCCGGAAAGAAAUCCUUGGCUCUAGUACAGCUCGGGGGAUGACGGUACCGGAAGAAUAAGCACCGGCUAACUACGUGCCAGCAGCCGCGGUAAUACGUAGGGUGCAAGCGUUAAUCGGAAUUACUGGGCGUAAAGCGUGCGCAGGCGGUUUUGUAAGACGGAUGUGAAAUCCCCGGGCUUAACCUGGGAACUGCAUUCGUGACUGCAAGGCUAGAGUAUGGCAGAGGGGGGUAGAAUUCCACGUGUAGCAGUGAAAUGCGUAGAGAUGUGGAGGAAUACCGAUGGCGAAGGCAGCCCCCUGGGCCAAUACUGACGCUCAUGCACGAAAGCGUGGGGAGCAAACAGGAUUAGAUACCCUGGUAGUCCACGCCCU
rnacentral:rRNA from 1 species